ACUGUAGCAUUUUAAAACGGCACAUUGUUCAAAGUGUUUCUGUGAGGGAUUUAAUGCUGUAUGAUGAGUAGCAAAACUCAGAGCCCUUCGAUACGCAAUCUAUAACCAGGAAGACCUCAUUGCAAUAUACUGUUUACAUGUUUUGUAAAAAAAAAAAAAUCUGGUAGUGUUUUAAUGUAAUGUAAUUUUAUUCUUGUAAAUUAAUGAAUUCUUACUGGAUAUUAUUUAUUAUGCUAUUUAUUUAUGUUUUUUUUUUUUUUUUUUUAGAAGAAAGACGCUUGUAAUUCAUCUUUAAUUGCACUUCAGGUUUUUUUUCAAUGCAAAUUCAUAUAACCUGGCUAAUGGGAAAAUAAGAUAUUGUAAUUUUAUUUAAUUCAACGUUUCUGUCAUUUUUGUGCCACUGUGGGUCCCACUGAUUGUUUCUCUGCUUAGACUUUUAUUUAUUUGUUUAUUUUGCAAAAAAGUCAAAUGUAUAUUUGAGCAAAGUAAUAUUAACAGAAAGCUACAACAUUGAUUUUAAAUCCACUAUUCUUUUAAUAAAGUUUGUUGUGGAAACAA